UACGUAGGGGCCGAGCGUUGUCCGGAGUUAUUGGGCGUAAAGAGCUCGUAGGCGGUUUGUCGCGUCUGCCGUGAAAGUCCGGGGCUCAACUCCGGAUCUGCGGUGGGUACGGGCAGACUAGAGUGAUGUAGGGGAGACUGGAAUUCCUGGUGUAGCGGUGAAAUGCGCAGAUAUCAGGGGGAACACCGAUGGCGAAGGCAGGUCUCUGGGCAACAACUGACGCUGAGGAGCGAAAGCGUGGGGAGCGAACAGG
rnacentral:rRNA from 1 species